AGAAAGAUCAUCCUGCUGUCUCACACCAGACUCUUUACAACAUCAAACUUGGUGUCAGCUACCUGAACAGCUCGUCAGAUAUUUAUCCGAGCUCUCUACCGUUGAUCAGAAUACUUCUCGCGUGAUGACACACGUCAUACCGAGGCUGGCGCUUAAAAAUAAAAGCUGCUCACAGGCAGACGGUUGAGUGAAAAGAAUGAAAGUCGUCGCGCAAAAUGGAAUCGUGACCGGUUCCUUGGCCGCACCGUGUAGGUCUGCGAGCGGGCAAUAGAAAGUGCACGGAGGGUCGCACCCCGGGGAAUGAGGACGGCGUUACGAUCACGAUAUCGGCCCGCACGUGGCCCGCAAAGGCCAGGCCCCUGGCUCGGGUUUUUUAGCAGGAUCAAUUAUUACCAAAGUCCUUGCAAACUGGUGGGCGGCAAAGGCAGAAUUGAGGAACCUUGUCCUGCCGUCUCCCUGCACUUGUAUCUAAGCUGUGCCUCUGAGUACAAAUGCGUGUGGGCGGGUGGUUUUGCUCAUUAAAAGAACGAUUCUUUCUGUGUGUAUGGUUAUUUUUUUUUUUUUUCAUUCAUUCUUUCAUUUUUUUUUAAAUUUUUCCCUGCUGUCUUUCAUUUCUCCAAAGGUCUUCCAAUCAUCGUUGAAGUAUUACUGCAGUAUUGGCGAAGACUAUUUUUAAAGUUCAGUAUGUUUAUGAUAACUUGAAUGUAUACGAAAGACAUGUUCUUAGAAGAUUUUUGUUUCAUUAUCCUUCAUUUGGAACAGAUGGCGCUAAAAGCCUGCACCAUCGUAAGGCGCCAUAAAGUCAAUGAAGAUCCUUAUAUAUGCUUUCCAAUCUGUGGGCUUCCUGUGGGCAGUACCUCCUACUCCGAGACCGCGCCUGAAUCGGGUGUGUUGAUGCUUUGAUUGUAAUCACAACUUUAAUGUACGCUAUUGAAGCUGGAUUUAUCGCGGCUGCUGGCACCAGACCCCCACCAAUAGAUCCUCCUUAACAGUUUAAAGUGUACUCAUACGGAACUCAAAAGAGUUCCAAAAAUAACAAAACAGAACUCUUAAUUACGAGGUGCCAAUGAAAAAAAGUUUGUGUCAAUCCAGGAUGAUCUAAAUGAUUAUGAGAAGGUGUUAUGAAAAUGUUAUGAAAAGUAACUUGAUGGAGAGGAGAAAUUGCUUGAGAAAUUGGACAGUAGAAAAAAUGAGGCUUUAUUAUUUUAUUCUUUUCUUUUUUACUUAUUUUAUCUUUUUUCCGAGUCCUUGUAUACGAAAUCGUUUCAUUUCGCUCUUCCAAAUAUUAAUUUUUUUUCGUCACGAUAUGAGUUUUAUUGCCUUUAUCCCAGUCUGACUUGUUCCUUCUUUUUGUGGGAUCUUACUACAUUUCAUCCGUCCAUUCUCAUAUUCAUCCCACUUAGGCCACACCUUCCAGGUCAUGCUUAAUGCUGAUGGAAAAUAUUUUGGGUUGAUGUUUCACAAAUCGUGUUUUUUUGGGUUUUUUUUGUUGUUUUUUUUUCAUGCGAAACGUUUCGCGGCAAACGCAGACUUGCAGAACGCCCGACUCUUGAUAACAGGUGAAGGCUCUGGAGGUACCCAGGCCCCGGAUGUUGUUUCCAAGCCACUUGUUCCCAGUCGUCGUGGGUGGUCCUGGAGAUGCUGUCAUUUUAGGCGAAGUGCAUGGUGGGAAAGAAGUCUUAUCAAAGACGUCAUCGCGAUCAUGGAAACUUCAUCGACUGCUGACCAGAGAAAGGGUUAGCUGUUCCUCCAUUCUUCGGCUCCUUGCUGGUCCUGUACGUCGUCGCCUGCACCAGGUUUCGUUAUCGUUGCCGGACAAGGGGAACAAUUGAUCUUCUUGAGGCAAAAAUCCGUGUCUUGAGAGUGCUGCCGCCUGAUCCCUAUUCACCCCAAAUCGUGGGUCGUGAUCCUGGCGUAAAUAGGUUUUUUAUUUAUUUGUUUAGUUUUUUGGGUAAGAGAUCUUGAGACCAAGGGUUUGCCUUCUUUUAGACGUGCACAUGGAAGUAUUUUAUUUAGAUUGGGUCCAACAGCAACACUCAGUAAGUAUUUACAUUUUUAGUUUUCUCCUGCCUUUAAUUAAUUUACCGUUGCGACAGUGACAACACAACAGAGAUCUUUACCACCUUCGUAUGUCUCGGUAAAGGCAUCAGAGUGGCUAACAAACAGACCCCCGUUUCCGUUUUCACCACCGACGAGUGUGUACUGCGCAUGCGCUGAAUAAUCCACGACAUACCCUCAUCAUCUUCCAUUGACAAACAUACACAAUAUCACAUACAGACACACAGACCCAGAAUAACUUUUCCCCAAAACAGAGCGAAAGGUCACCUCUUGAAGGAAGGAAGAGGUUAACAAAUUGGAAAACAGAAGAUCGCAGCGGUCGCUUCCCGGGACUGCACGGCCUUGUGAAGUUGAUGUCCGUGUAUUUUGACUGACGGAAAUCCACGGUAUCAUUCCCUGCAGGCAACUAUUGACAACAAGCUUGAAUUUACGAAUUAUGAAGCCUGCUCAGCAUAGGUAAUGGCUUCCCUUACGUCAGUGUUCGACUAAUUAAUUUUUUUUUUUUUUUUUAGGAAAUGUCUGUUCUUAUCAAAGUUUGGCAGUUUAACGUCGCGAGUCUGGUUUUGUUGUUGUGUUUCUAUUUUGGAAUUCAAAACAUACAGAUUUUCUGGAAAGCUUUUAAUUAUUUCCACCAGUUAAGUUUGGCAGGUUUUUCUCAGAAGCACCACGAUGGACAAAGACAGAAUACGGUGUGUGUUUGUGAACACUCGCACACCAACCCACUCCCCCGUCAACACAAAUAAGAAAACCAACUCUACAACAGGCACGAGAUGAUGAAGAAGGCUGUUUACAUACUUUUAUUUUGGAUUAAGGAUCUGGAAGGCAAAUAUUUUCCUUUAUUUUCGACUUGCACAUCGAUUUACUCUGUUGUCGUCUUGUUAUCCGUCACCACGCACGUGGCAGGAAGUAGAAUUAAUGAAGACUGAACUAAUAUCUUUGUUGAUGUCUUUUCGUCAAAUAGAAAAUUGAGACGAUAACAUCAGUGUUCUGUGCAUUGUUGAUGCGCAAACAUCAGAAUCAUUCACUUCUGUGGCUUCCAGAUCCUCAGAGUGCAGUGGAGGUGUGCGGGCUGAUCAGCCAUGCUGCUUGUUAAAGGGUCAACCACUCCCUUCAAGAGUUGUUAUUGUACGGAUUGGAAGGUCUGUAGUUUCACCGCCAAAGAAGUACCAUCCCCUGUGGUAUUUCUUGCAGUUUUUCAAGCGGUUAAUCGAAUUACUUCAUGGCGCUGUCUUCCGUCACCAAACAAAGCAAAGACCUGGUCACCGACAGCGAGGAUGUUGAUGUUCUCGGCGAUGUGUCUGAUGAGUGCUUGCUCUGAUGAAGUGGUUGGUGGUGCAGUAGCCAAAGCAUAUGUCACUACGAUAGAAAGAUUCGAACCUCUUGGGUCUGUAAAUCUGCUAACCCACAUCUGGACAUGACACGUGGUUUUCUCCGUGUACCGUGUGUGUGUGAUAGAGAGAGAGAGGAGGAGAAGAAGUAGAUGGAAAUGACUUGAUUGAUGAAUAAAUUUGUAAAAAGCAUUUAAUGUCUACUGACAAUUAUGUGCUCGUGCGAUUGUAUGCAAAGCAUCUUUUUUGGUGUUGAAAGCCUCUUUAUAAAAAUUAUUAUACAAUAAAAUGACUACUCACAAAGUUACUGCCAGGUUAUGACAAAAACAUUUCUUUAUUGUAGUACCUCAGGUACUGGAGAAAGAUCGUAGGUUCUUGUGGAGCAAGAGAACACCGUCAACCAGAAGUCUUUGAAGUCAAUGAUUGAAGUCGUGGGUUAUUAAACACAAGAUAAAAGAGUAUCAACCUUAGGGUCACCUUUUCCUGGUGUUUAACCGUCACCGGAGGAGGAUGCCAUGAGGGUGUGCCGAGUGCUACAACAGGCCUCAUCAGGGGUGGGGGCUGAGAGGAGCCAAAACAGAGGCAGUCUGGAUGAGUUAAUCGUUGCUGGAUCGCUGCCAGACUUCUGCAGGGACUGGCAAGACCGUCCUUUCUGAAAACAGCGUGCACUAGCGCGUGCUGAUGGGGUGUGUCCGGUGCUAAUGCGCACGCAUCAACCAGUUCCGGUCUGCUGCACAGAGUCCAGCAAGUGUUGUGCGUGACGGCGUCGUGACACGUGCGGUCUCUCGGCACAUCGUUUGAGGAUGAGGAUCCCCGGCUUCUCCUUCCCCCUCCCACAAUCGCUAUUGGGUGGAAGAAUUUCCCCCUUCCAAACACAACAGUAACAACAACAGGAUCCCUGCCGUCCGCGGUUCAAAUCCCAUCUUGGGCACGCUUUUCUUUACCUUCAUAGAUUUAUUCCACGUCACUUGAAGCAGAAAAAGACGUCAUAUAUAAUGUGUGCGUCAUUUAUUCCACGUCACUUAAAGCAGAAAAAGACGUCAUAUAUAAGAGAGUUGCUCUCAAAAUGACCAAGUGAGCGGGAAAAGAACAGUCUUCAUCCGCCAUCUUUAUACUCUCUUAGUGACAUUCCUCUCAACUUGUGCCUCUUGGAUUCACCUACAAGUCUCUUCAUCCUCAUCGUCAUUUACGGGGGCUCGUCAAGCGUUGUGUGUGUGUGUACUACGUCAUGCGUAUGCAAGGUAAGUGUACGUUCGUCGUAUUAUGCCACUUGUAAGAUGGUCUUUUAUUAUUCAAGACCAAUAUAUCGUCUUUAUACUGGAGGAUUAUAUAUAUAUAUUAGAUAUGUUUUUCUGCCAGUACUUUAGCUUCCUUCACUCUGUUCGUACGCUCCAUGUAAACAUUUUGAACCAGGCCUCGGUGCAAAGUAAAGCCGCUGUAUCACUUCGCUGCAUCAUCACCGUCAUACCUUUACAGAAACAUCCAGCUGCAUCUUUGCUGCUUCUGUAAGCUAUGUCUUUAAGGGAAACUUUUUGUGAGAGAGACCGAGAAAACAUAAAGCUUAAGUGGUCAUAAUACAUGUAAUGGAGUGUGAGUAUAUACAUAAACAUGGUACUUCCUUCUGUGUAUGGAAAACAGACACAGAUGCUCGUGAAAUUCAGUUCAAAUCUAGUUUACACGGGAAUUCGUAUCUAUUUUCCCUACACAAAAGUGCUUUUAGGGCUGCCAUCAUUAUCUACAAAUUAUGAGGACCCUUAUGUGUGGAAAGAAGAUACGGACGAGCAGCCAGCCCGACCCAUAGGUGUGUUUAUGGGAAUUUUCCAGCGGAGGAUGCAGGUGGGCGUGUGCUGGUUGAGUCCGAUUCCGGAUGUUUAUGAAUGACAUACAGACUGAGGUCUGUUUAUGUCGGGUAGACGGGUGGCGCUGUAGUCAUGAAGCGAGGGUAAGGCGUUGCCCUGGGGACAGCUUGGAGAACUCAAGUCCAAGAAUCUUGUUUCUGAAGCUAUAAUGGUGUUCAGAUCCGCAGAUGUUGUUUUACAUCUGGAGGCGUGAUUACAGCUCGGUGGUAAAGAUGCCCUGGGGUAAAGAAACAUAGUGUCUACGAGGUUUGGGUAUCCCAUUGUAACUAUGGAAACAUAACAUCGUUUCACGAGUACGGCGAGUGGUUUUGUUGAAGAAUAAUACCCGACAUCGCCACUGUUUAUUGCUAUCUACCUUCCAUUUUAUUCUUCCUUCAUCCUUUGUCUGUUAGAAACGAGGCUGAUGAAAAGUUUGAUUUGUGAAUCAUUGGGAGGUAUGGGUGGAUGAGGUCGUGGUUUUUUUUUUUUAUUUUUUAUUUGGGCUUUCAUUUUUAGGUAUACAUAUAGUAUUACUUGACGUGGGGUCUGUGAGAGUGUUUGUGUGAGUCUCAUUCGUCUGCCAGCCUUCAUCAAAACACGUUUCUCUGGCGAUGUCACUUAGCAAAUAUAUGAAAUCUUCUUCUUAAGGAAGAGAUGCCAACACCUUUCUGAACUGUGAUACUACUCAUGGUCCCAGAGAAAGGCAUUAGCAAGCACUUAUCGAACACUUGGUAUUACUCAUCAUACAUUGGUAAUCCACUCAACAUCACUGCCGCCUGUGUAGUCGUCCUCGUUGUCAUCAUCACUAUUCUUCUUCCUUAGAUGUUUGAGCCAUCCAUUUCUUUACCCUCGAGAUUUCAACAAACCUCAUGUGAGGGAAGGAAAGGGGGGAUAACUGUCACGCUGAAAGUUUACUUGUUUUUUUUUAUUAAUAGUAAAGUUUACAUCUCAGACUAUUUUGACGAUAAUGGUCUUAUCUGGCUGUGUGUGUAGAGUGCUUUUUUUCUGUCAUAAACAGGUCGCUCUGUGUUUUGAAUGAAAGGUACACAAAUGUUUACAUCGAUUUCAAUUGUGCGUCAUAAGCGGUUAACUCCCUUCCCUUCCCCCUCCCACCUGUCAGACAGGCUUUGAUUCAUUUUUCUGAUGUCGGAUUUGUUUAUUCUAGGAAAACAGUUGUCGGACUCUCGAUGUUUGCUGACUACAGAUGGUUUGGCUGUUUUUGCAGUCAAAAUUAGUGUGUAGAGCAUGUUUUGUUUACUCAUAGAAUAGAGAGUCACCAGGCCCUCCUCAACAUAGGCACGCACGUACACCAACACACUCAUGACUGUUUGAAGGAAAUAAACCAAUAAUAAUAACUCAGUGCGUUGUGUAUUGAGAAGAAUUUGAACUUUAAUAUUACAUUGACAAACAACGAACAGCUCGUGUCAACGCCAUUACUAGACUCUCCAACGCAAAAAAAAAUAUAUAUGAGAAGUCAUUCCAUAAAUAACCAACCAGUGUAUACGCUAGCCAUCUUCCAUUUGUAUCACUACACCUGAGUUUAAAUCGGCCGGCCCUUUCCAACAGGCCUCCUGUCGGGUACUUUAGGGUCAGAACUGAAACUGAAUGAUAACACGGGGACUAGGGUUAACUCAAGCUUUCUGUACGUGUGUGUGUGUGUGCAUGCAUGCGUGCGCGCGCGACAUGAAUCGUGUAUUUACAUCCUGAAGUUCUAUGAUGUUUGGAUAGCGCGUUCGAACUGCAAUGGUAACUUUGCACUUUGUCGUCAAUGCUCAGCUCAGCUUUUAACAUCAUGGCUUCACAUCAUCAGCGAUGCCGAACAACUGAAUCACAUCGCAGUAGGUUCAAAGGUUAGCAACAUCGUUCUUGAGGCAGACUUAAAAAGGGAGAGAACUGAAUCAGGGACCACAAUAUUACAGUUUUUUUUUUCUUUUUGUAACACAAAAUUAUUGUCGUCAUGAUAAAAUAAAUUUAUUUUUGGUACAACAAAUGGUUGCUUUAGUGACAGGGGGGAGGGGAGAGAGUGGGUUAGUGGUAAUCUCCAUUUAUAGAGCCGCACAAAGGCCUUGAACAAAGAUCCAUUUAUUGAUCCGUUAAAAACAACAACAACAAAAAAAAAGUCCCUCAUAAAUACACACACAUCGAUUGAUCGAUUCGCUGUGAUGGGAUCAAAUUCAAGCACAUGGAACAAAAUGUACAUCUUGAUAACAUAGGGGACAGCGUUGAGAGAGAAGCAUGUCAAAGAAAGCACGGCACGAGGUGGUGGGGGAGAUCAGUUGAUGGAGAAGGGGACGGUAGAAGGAAGGAACGAUGGGGAUGCAAGAUAAAUGGCAGAAAAAGAUAGGG